rnacentral:rRNA from 1 species
UACAGAGGGUGCAAGCGUUAAUCGGAAUUACUGGGCGUAAAGCGUGCGCAGGCGGUUCGUUGUGUCGGUGGUGAAAGCCCCGGGCUUAACCUGGGAAUGGCCAUGGAAACUGGCGAACUGGAGUGUGGCAGAGGGGGGUGGAAUUCCGCGUGUAGCAGUGAAAUGCGUAGAGAUGCGGAGGAACACCGAUGGCGAAGGCAGCCCCCUGGGCUAGCACUGACGCUCAGGCACGAAAGCGUGGGGAGCAAACAGG